AGCUUUGCGCAGUGGCAGUAUCGUAGCCAAUGAGGUUUAUCCGAGGCGCGAUUAUUGCUAAUAACUGUCCCUAACUCAUAAAGUAAAAAUUCAAGUCACAGGCUGGAAAGCC
rnacentral:snRNA from 1 species